rnacentral:rRNA from 1 species
UACAGAGGGGGCAAGCGUUGUCCGGAAUUACUGGGCGUACAGCGCGCGCAGGCGGGCCGUGACGUGCCGUGUGACAGCUGCCGGCUUAACCGGCAGAGGCCAGGGUAGACGCACGACCUGGAGGCAGGGAGAGGGAUGUGGAAUGCCCGGUGGAGCGGUGAAAUGCGUAGAGAUCGGGCGGAACACCAGCGGCGCAGGCGGCAUCCUGGCCGAACACUGACGCUGAGACGCGAAAGCGCGGGGAGCGAACGGGAUUAGAUACCCGGGUAGU